UUUCCGCUAAUGUGUUAAGUGAUCAAGCAAAACAGAGAUGUUUCUAGGCAAUACGCCCUGUCCAACUUAAUGUCUAAUUCGUUUAAGUGGAUUACUAUGUUUGGUUAACACCAUUAAUCACAACAAUUAACCGUUUUU
ensembl:ncRNA C39E6.9 ncRNA